rnacentral:rRNA from 1 species
GCAGCAGCCGCGGUAAUACGGAGGGUGCAAGCGUUAAUCGGAAUUACUGGGCGUAAAGCGCACGCAGGCGGUUUGUUAAGUCAGAUGUGAAAUCCCCGAGCUUAACUUGGGAACUGCAUUUGAAACUGGCAAGCUAGAGUCUUGUAGAGGGGGGUAGAAUUCCAGGUGUAGCGGUGAAAUGCGUAGAGAUCUGGAGGAAUACCGGUGGCGAAGGCAGCCCCCUGGGCCAAUACUGACGCUCAUGCACGAAAGCGUGGGGAGCAAACAGGAUUAGAGACCCGAGUAGUCCCUGUCUCUUAUAC